UGAGCUCCUGUGUGGCCUACUGACGUGAGCAGGCCAAAGAAACCCUGAAAAUUAAAUGUGAGAGCUCUCCAAAGAGCUUCCUUGCUAUUCCAGUGCAUCCUGCAAGGCCCCAGACAAGAGACAAGGAGUGUUUGCUUCUUACCGGCUUGCCUUAGGAAUUCCUGCCUACUUUACAUCCCUGUGUGCUGGGAUGCUCAAGCCAGGAUGGUAUUACCCAGAGAAGAACCUGGCAAGAAGACCCUGGAAUUGUUUGAAGAAGGCUGACCCGCGAUCGCCUUGACUGCAACUCUCCUGGCAGUGUCAGAGGGAAAGGCAGAAAAAAAAAGGAUCCUUGCACACAGCACCAGUCUCCCCAGCAUCUUCAGUCUGCUUUCUCAAACGUGGCUGCCCAGCAACAGGAGGAGUACCUUUGUGAGGAGGAGAGUGGCUCAUGGUAUCUCCUCCCUGCCUUGGGGAGGGAUUCCCUGCAGUCUAACAAGUGCUACCAAGAAGCCCCUGUGCAGGCUAAAGGCCCAGCGCCAGAUGCUGUGUGUGCUCAUGGAAGGAGUGGGAGCCCGCCCUGGAGAACGGAUUAUCACGCUGGAAAAGCCCAGGUGAGCUUGAAAGAUCCAGCAAUCAAGAGCAGAAAUCUGAGGACCUGGAGGCAUGGAAGGCUGAGAAGCUGGCCAGGAAGGAGAAAGCCAAACUGGUAAUCAUCCCCUGCUGUCUGCCCUGCAGAGAGCCAAGAACAGAGCUGACCCUCCAUGCCUCUCCCUGUGAGGAAGACUCCGGGCCAUUGCUGGAGGAAGGAGUAAGGGUCUGACACCCCUUGCCCUGAGGUUUGGUGGGGCCCUGUGGGGAGGAGCUGCCAUGA